rnacentral:siRNA from 1 species
GGAAACGGCUCAGCCGGAGGUAG